AUCGAACGCUGGCGGCAUGCCUUACACAUGCAAGUCGAAUGGCAGCACGGGAGCAAUCCUGGUGGCGAGUGGCGAACGGGUGAGUAAUGUAUCGGAACGUGCCCAGUCGUGGGAGAUAACGUAGCGAAAGCUACGCUAAUACCGCAUACGAUCUAUGGAUGAAAGCGGGGGAUCGCAAGACCUCGCGCGAUUGGAGCGGCCGAUAUCAGAUUAGGUAGUUGGUGGGGUAAAGGCCCACCAAGCCUGCGAUCUGUAGCUGGUCUGAGAGGACGACCAGCCACACUGGAACUGAGACACGGUCCAGACUCCUACGGGAGGCAGCAGUGGGGAAUUUUGGACAAUGGGCGCAAGCCUGAUCCAGCAAUGCCGCGUGCAGGAUGAAGGCCUUCGGGUUGUAAACUGCUUUUGUACGGAACGAAACGGCUUUUUCUAAUACAGAGAGCUAAUGACGGUACCGUAAGAAUAAGCACCGGCUAACUACGUGCCAGCCGCCGCAGUAA
rnacentral:rRNA from 1 species